rnacentral:tRNA from 1 species
GGUUCCACAGUGUGGCAGUUAGCACGUCUGCUUUACAUUCAGAAAGUCCUGGGUUUGUUCCCCAGUGGAGCCA